rnacentral:sRNA from 1 species
AUGAAAAUUUUAUCACUGAAAAACAUACCCCUUUGUUAAAACAGUGAAAAAUUUCUCCCAUCCCCUUUGUUUGAGCAGCACACUAUAGAAGGUGUGCUGCUUUU